rnacentral:rRNA from 1 species
UUCCUACGGGUGGCUGCAGUCGAGAAUCUUCGGCAAUGGGCGCAAGCCUGACCGAGCGACGCCGCGUGGAGGAUGAAGGCCUUCGGGUUGUAAACUCCUGUCGAGGGGGAGGAAGGCGUAAGCUUGACCGAUCCCUGGAGGAAGCACGGGCUAAGUUCGUGCCAGCAGCCGCGGUAAGACGAACCGUGCGAACGUUAUUCGGAAUCACUGGGCUUAAAGCGCGUGUAGGCGGAUCGGUGCAUCGAUUGCUGAAAGCCCCCGGCUCAACCGGGGAACUGGCGUCGAGAUGGCCGGUCUUGAGGGGGGUAGGGGGACCUGGAACUUCCGGUGGAGCGGUGAAAUGCGUUGAGAUCGGAAGGAACGCCCGUGGCGAAAGCGAGGUCCUGGACCCUUUCUGACGCUGAGACGCGAAAGCCAGGGGAGCAAACGGGAUUAGAUACCCCAGUAGUCCCC